rnacentral:rRNA from 1 species
UACGGGGGGGGCAAGCGUUGUUCGGAAUUACUGGGCGUAAAGCGUGCGCAGGCGGUUAUGCAAGACAGAUGUGAAAUCCCCGGGCUCAACCUGGGAACUGCAUUUGUGACUGCAUAGCUGGAGUGCGGCAGAGGGGGAUGGAAUUCCGCGUGUAGCAGUGAAAUGCGUAGAUAUGCGGAGGAACACCGAUGGCGAAGGCAAUCCCCUGGGCCUGCACUGACGCUCAUGCACGAAAGCGUGGGGAGCAAACAGG